rnacentral:tRNA from 1 species
GGCUGGGUAGCUCAGUUGGUACGAGCGUCCGCCUGAAAAGCGGAAGGUCGCCGGUUCGAUCCCGGCCCCAGCCACCU